UUUCCGUAGGUGAACCUGCGGAAGGAUCAUUAUUGAAUGAAACACUUCUGGCUUUAUGCUGUUGUGCUGGCCCUUUGGGCAAUGUGCACACGGCUCUGGUCACUUGUUUCUUCUGUUCCACCUGUGCACUGCCUGUAGACACGCUGUGUCUAUGAUAUUUGUUAACACACAACAAUGUUAGUUGGCAUGUUAUAUAUAAUAAUAAAAUAUACAACUUUCAACAACGGAUCUCUUGGCUCUCGCAUCAUGAAGAACGCAGC
rnacentral:misc_RNA from 1 species